rnacentral:rRNA from 1 species
CAGCCGCCACGGUAAUACGAAGGGGGCUAGCGUUGUUCGGAAUUACUGGGCGUAAAGCGCACGUAGGCGGAUAUUUAAGUCAGGGGUGAAAUCCCGCAGCUCAACUGCAGAACUGCCUUUGAUACUGGGUAUCUUGAGUAUGGAAGAGGUAAGUGGAAUUGCGAGUGUAGAGGUGAAAUCCGUAGAUAUUCGCAGGAACACCAGUGGCGAAGGCGGCUUACUGGUCCAUUACUGACACUGAGAGACGAAAGCUAGGGGAGAAAAUGGGAUUAGAUACCCCGGUAGUCCCUGUCUCUUAUAC